CCCUUAGAUGUCCUGGGCCGCACGCGCGCUACACUGACAUGUUCAACAAGUUUCUCCUAGUUCGACAGGACUGGGAAAUCUUUGAACGCAUGUCGUGAUAGGGAUAGAUCAUUGCAAUUAUUGAUCUUGAACGAGGAAUUCCUAGUAAACGCGAGUCAUCAGCUCGCAUUGAUUACGUCCCUGCCCUUUGUACGCACCGCCCGUCGCACCUACCGAUUGAAUGUUUCGGUGAAGAUUCCGGAUAGGACUGAUUUGAUUUAUUUCAUUUCUGACCUAAAAGCUAUCUAAACCUCAACAUUUAGAGGAAGGUGAAGUCGUAACA
rnacentral:rRNA from 1 species